UGCCAAAACCCUAGUCCUAAAAGGAAGGGAAAAGAAAGCCCUAAAUCCAUGGCAGCAACCCUCUUCUCUUCCUCUCUCUCCUUUAAAAGCCGCAUUAUAGCCGGAAAAUCUGAUGUACGCCUUUCCGGCCGCCCCCUCCGCGCCGCUGUCAUCGGCGGCGGCCCAGCCGGCGCCUCCGCUGCCGAGGCCCUUGCUGCAGGCGGCGUCGAGACCCACCUCAUCGAGCGGCAUCCAGUCGGUGGCAAGCCCUGCGGUGGAGCGAUCCCGCUCUGCAUGCUGUCUGAGUUCUCCCUCCCACCUGAGAUCGUCGACCGGAAGGUGACGCGCAUGAAGAUCGUCUCCCCCUCGAAUCUGACCGUGGAUUUCGGCCAGACGCUGAAGCCGCACGAGUACAUCGCGAUGCUCCGCCGCGAGGUGCUCGACUCGUUCCUGCGCUCGCGCGCUGAAUCCAACGGCGCGGAUCUGAUCGACGGGCUCUUCACUGGUCUCGAAGCCCCUGCGACGGACAGCGACCCGUACGUGGUGCAUUACACGGAGUCGGCUGGGGAGGGCCUCGUGGCGGGGAUCCGACGGUCAAUGGAGGUGGAUGUGGUGGUCGGGGCGGACGGGGCCAACAGCCGCGUGGCGAAGGCUAUCGGGGCGGGAAAUUACACUUCUGCCAUCGCGUUUCAGGAGCGGAUACGGCUGCCGGACGAGAAAAUGGAGUAUUAUGAAAAUCUCGCGGAGAUGUAUGUCGGGAGCGACGUAUCGCCCGAUUUCUACGGCUGGGUUUUUCCGAAGUGCGACCACGUGGCGGUUGGGACAGGGACGGUUUGCUCGAAGGCUGAGAUUAAGAAGUACCAAGCAGGUAUCAGGGACAGGGUUAAGGACAAGAUCAGCGGUGGAAAGGUGAUUAAGGUCGAGGCCCACCCAAUCCCGGAACAUCCACGUCCCCGUAGGGUUGUGGGCCGCGUCGCCCUCGUUGGGGAUGCAGCCGGGUAUGUCACGAAAUGCUCCGGCGAGGGCAUCUACUUUGCUGCGAAGUCAGGCCGCAUGUGCGGCGAGGCGAUCGUCCGUUCAUCCGACUAUGGGAAAAGGAUGAUCGGAGAGGAUGAUCUUAAGAGAGAAUAUCUUAAGCAAUGGGAUAAUCAGUAUUUAAGCAUGUUUAGGUUCUUGGAUUUGCUGCAGAGGGUGUUCUAUGGGAGUAACAUAGGCAGGGAGGCACUGGUGGAGAUGUGUGGAGACCUCUACGUUCAACGGAUGACGUUCGAGAGCUAUCUGUAUAAGAAGAUGGCCGUUGGGGAUUGGAAGGAGGAUGUGAAGAUGAUGUGGAACGCAGUAGGGAGUCUAAUGAGGGCAAGGAUCGUUGGGAGAGAGGUGGAGAGAUUGAAGAUGGCCCAUCCAAAUUCUACUCUUUCCACACGUGCUAAAGUUGCACGUCUGUGAUACGGUUGCUGGCUGGGCCACGGUCGUGUGCUUGAAUGUGGCCUACGUGUCUCAUCUUGUUAGAGACGUGCGGGGUGGCCGGCUCGUGUGGGGAGCGUAGCAUUGGGAUCGCCACAUUGCCCAUUCAUCGGAUCUUGGACUGUUUUCCGUUUGUACAUACCGUUGACCAUACGCUGUUGGGCCAAAAUGAUCCGAACUGUCCAGUCCUUGGAGUGUUGAUCCAUGCUCAUCGUAGCAUUUGUAGUGGUUUACAUCCACAUGAUAUAUCCGAACCGUCCAUUGCAUCUGUCCUCACUUCUUAGGCAGCCUUGAAAAAUUAUACUUAUGGAAUGAUCCAAUACGUCCAGUCAGUGGGUUUUAGAAAAUGAUGGAUACGAUUGUUCAAUGAAUAAAGGUCCUGUUACGGACGUUCAGGACCA